GUGGGCUCAUUAUAUUAGUCAUUUCCAGGGAAAUUAUUGGGUAUGUUGUGUAUUUUAAUUUGUUGAUAAGUAAUAUGAGCAUGCUGCAAAACCAUGUGAAAGGGCCCUUAUCACAUGGGACUAAAUAUAGUCCACUAGGACAACUAACCUACAAAGUAUAUUGCAAGCAACCACUAUAAAUAUAACUUUUUUAGUGCAGACUUCAGAACAAGAACAUUGAGUAAUGAGUGUAACUUUUGACAUACAUAUUGAAUUACUUGCACUCUCAAAGCUGUAUAUUUUAUUUUUAGAAAAGCUGUACAUGGAGUCUUUCCGAGGAUCGGAUUAUUCAAAGUAAUUUUAAGAAGAAGGCAUCUUCUCUAUUGUCAUGCAUGUUUUAUUAAGCUCGAAGUAACGGACGGCGGCCUGGAUGGCAUGGGUCAGAUUAUUGGGAUAAACUUAUUGUAUACUGACAGUCUCCGGAAUUUCAAAAGAAGAGCAACCAGACAAAGGUAGCUCGAAAGUCCAAGAAGGGUGGCUUAUUGCACACGUGUGGUUCGGUGUCUAUGGGGACAGCUAAGAGGGAAAUUGGAAGCAUAUCUUGGUAGACCAGCCACUCGUGAAGAGGUAUAGAAGAAGACCCAUAUGAAACUUAGAGAUGGAAAAGAAGUUUGGGUUGAGACACGGGUAGAGGACACCUAUAAUCGAUACAUUCAAGCAAUUGAAGAGUUAAAAAAGAAUCAGCCGAUAGAUGAUCAAGGCAAUCCAAUCAUGCUAUCAGAGGAGGAAACUCUCUUCUGCUGGCUGGAUGUAGUUGGCGGUGUGUAUAAGGGAAGGGCAUACGGUCUUUGCUCCGAGAAGAACUUUCAUCGCCUCCAGUGUGGAUUGCAAGGUAUAGGGGGCUCUGUCACCAUGCUAGAUGAGCAGCUUGAGGAGACGCAACAGGAAGUUCGGGAGCUUGCUAGGAAAUACUAGGAAAUACGAGGAGGAACGAAAAAGAAGGAUGGAUGAAGAGCGACGUAGGACGACACUUGAGUCAGACGUCCAAGAACUCAAGGAUCAAGUAAAUAUGUUAAUCAAGCUUCCUCGUUCUCCGCCCCCUAGCUCUGAUGAUGAUGGCGAAGAUGAUGAGGAUAAUGGAGAGGAUGAAAUGGAUUAUUAGGUGGUGUUUUAGUUUUGGAUUCCGAUAAUUUGGAGAGUUUGAAACUAUGUAUUUUGCUACUUGUUUGUAUACUUUUUUUAUACUUGUUUGGAUAUUAUUUAAGUUGGAUGAAUAUGUGUGAAGUUGGUUGCUUAAUUUUUAAUGUUUGAAUUAUUUCGGAA